rnacentral:rRNA from 1 species
UACAGAGGGGGCCAGCGUUAUUCGGAAUUAUUGGGCGUAAAGGGCGCGUAGGCGGCCAUGCGUGUCUUCCGUGAAAUCCCUCGGCUUAACUGAGGACGUGCGGAAGAAACUGCAAGGCUUGAGUCCGGGAGAGGGGAGUGGAAUUCCCAGUGUAGCGGUGAAAUGCGUAGAUAUUGGGAGGAACACCGGUGGCGAAGGCGGCCCCCUGGACCGGUACUGACGCUGAGGCGCGAAAGCGUGGGUAGCAAACGGG